rnacentral:rRNA from 1 species
GGUUGACCUCAGAUCAGGUAGGAAUACCCGCUGAC